CAGGCUCGAAGUCGGAUUGCUUGGGAUCACCAGCUCCACAACCUAGGUGUAGCUGCAAAUCCUCCCUCCGUCUCCUCAUCUGGAAAAUGGGGACAACUGGAGACUGUAUCUCACUGGGUUAUGGUGAGGAUCACAUGGGGCAUGUCUGCAUGAUGCUUGGCACAAUACCAGAUGCACCGUAGAAAACGGAAUAUUGAAGAGAUGGGGAAAUGGUGUGACCUGCAGUUGCCAAUUCAUGAUUUGAUGGCUUCGAGGCUCAGCCUCAGUGCUAUAGUACUGACAAGGAAGCUGAGGUUUGGAGGUUAAGCGACUUGUCGCCUGCUGAUGAGUGAUGACAAUCAGGCUGUCUGCCUCGGGCCACACCCUGAGGCUGCUAGGCAGUGUCUGCUGAGACAAGGCCAAGGCGGGCUGCUCGCUCUGGGCAGACCCACUGGGGGCCUGUGGAGCUGUCUGCAGUCAGCAGAGCUGGUAGUGAGCUCUCUCUCCCCAGCGGGGAAGUCAUCAAGAAAUCUCCCAUUUUCAUCUUCCUGCAGGCACGUCUCCCU